AAAGUAUAUAAAGCGCCUGGACUAAGUGCUGGAAAAAAGACUUAGUUGACGAGGAUGGAGGUUAUCGAAUUUUCGGCGGAUGCCUCCCGGUUGAAUAGGUUACAACCGAAAGCUUCUCUUCAAACCAAAGAGGUAACUUUUUGAACAAAGAGAGAAGUAUAGCCUUCC
rnacentral:ncRNA from 1 species